rnacentral:rRNA from 1 species
AUGCUUGUCGAGACAAACAAGCAUGAAUAAUACUAUAUUGUUUACAAGCUUCUUAAGUUGGUAUUAAUUCUGCCAGUAGCUACUGCUAGUGUUGAAAGGGUGUUCUCUUCAAUGAACUAUGUGAAGAAUAAGCUAAAGAGCAAAAUGGGUGAUGAUUACUUGAACAAUUGUUUGGUCACAUUUGUUGAGAGAGAAUUUUUCAAUCAAGUAAAGGAUGAGGAUCUCAUCAAUCUCUUCCAAAAAGGCGAUCACAAAGUUAUAUUGUAA